rnacentral:lncRNA from 1 species
CUGGAAGCCCCCAGGGCCUAGCUGGGCCAGCUCACCUGCCUGGGCGUGGUUCCCACGGGCCAUGGCUUCCUGCUCCCUCUGACUUCAUCAGGCCCUAACCAGUCCUUCUCUAAACCCUUCCACCUCAUUUGAGGGCUGCCUCUUUCCUGCCAGGACCCUGACCAAUAAACUUCUGGGGUCUGCACAGCCCUAGGAAGCAGCUGUUCUUGCCCAUUUUAUGGGGAGGAGUGCCCGUGGAGACCCCCAUGGUAGGAGGUCUUAACUCCUGGGGACCCGGGCUCCCCUCGUUCUCAGCACAGACCUUGGGAAAGGCAGCCCACGGGUCAGAGAGCGGAAACGCCAGGUUUCGUGCAGGAAGUGUGUGUGUGAGAAGCGGUCCCAGGGAAGAGAGGGAGCCCACCUGCGGGCAAGGCAGGGUGAGGGGAAAAGCCGGCAGAAGGAGGCGGCGUCGACCCACACUCAGAGCUGUGCUGACAGCCGGGGCCAUCUGAGGAACCUCGAGACGUGCAGAAAACUGUCCACCCCAGGGACAAAAAGGGACGUAAGCCAUAGGCUCCACCCCAUCCAUCAGGGGUUGCUCAUCAGUCCCACACUUCUGGGUUCACAUACCUGGGUGCCAAGCAGGUCCCUCGGGGGCGUCCUCCUCCGCCGCGUCAGAGAAGCUCUGGGCAAGAGUGAGCUGGGCCAUUGGCCCCCAUCUGCACAAAGCUGGUCAGAGGCGGCAGGAAGCGGUCAGCACAGUGCCAUGGCUGGGAUGGGAACCUGACUAAGAAGCCCUCUGCCCCUGUUGAAAACUCAUGAGGAGUCCUGUGAGCUCCUGCAUGGCUUUGGAAGUGCGGCAGCCGCCAGAGGCGUCAGCUCCAGCCUCUCCGGGGGCAAGGAUCCAGUGUGACCACCUGCCAUCAGGCGCUGGCCAGUCUCCUCACAGUGACCCCCAUCAAGAACCCAGGCCAGUCCCUGCUGCUGGAAGGGGGGUGUUUACCAGCAACAGUGGCUGACUACUGUCGGGCCUGCGCACGGCUGCCACCGCGCCGCCUGCCACCGAGGCUG